rnacentral:rRNA from 1 species
UGACCUCAAAUCAGGUAGGACUACCCGCUGAACUUAAGCAUAUCAAUAAGCGGAGGAAAAGAAACUAACAAGGAUUCCCCUAGUAACUGCGAGUGAAGCGGGAAAAGCUCAAAUUUAAAAUCUGGCGGUCUUUGGCCGUCCGAGUUGUAGUCUGGAGAAGUGCUUUCCGCGCUGGACCGUGUACAAAG